UACGUAGGGUGCAAGCGUUAAUCGGAAUUACUGGGCGUAAAGCGUGCGCAGGCGGCUUUGCAAGACAGAUGUGAAAGCCCCGGGCUCAACCUGGGAAUGGCAAUGGAAACUGGCGAGCUUGAGUGUGGCAGAGGGGGGUGGAAUUCCGCGUGUAGCAGUGAAAUGCGUAGAGAUGCGGAGGAACACCGAUGGCGAAGGCAGCCCCCUGGGCCAACACUGACGCUCAGGCACGAAAGCGUGGGGAGCAAACAGG
rnacentral:rRNA from 1 species